UGAGGACUUCUUACGCAGUCGGGCAUGCAAACUAUGCAUACUCAGGAAGAGGUCAGCCAGAGGCCUUUAAUACCUAUGAGACCUUGACUACAUGAGCACUGAGGAGAAAUUGCCAGGCAGGCUUUGGAAGCAGAACUAUAACCUGUAAUUUGAUGAGUCUAGAAAAUCCUGAACAUUGGCUCCAACUCAGUUCUUCCCAGCCCUCCAUAAGCUGGAUUAAAGGCUAGUAUGAUUAAUAUAUGCAAAAGGUUGAAUUCAUCAAGCACCAGAUUGGGGUCAGAAGGAAUUUCCAUUAAAAGCAAACUGGAACUAACCUGAGGAAGCCUGGAGGAGGAGCUGAGGGGGAAGGAAGAGGGGGCUGAACAAUGAAACAUUUCUCCAGAGCAUUUGGAAUGGAUCACUCUCAUAUUCAAACUACAAGCAAACCACUCUGACACUGCAAUUUGGAUGACUUUAUUCCAAUACGGUUUCUGAGUCCUGAAGAACUAUACCAAUUUUCCCUUCUAUGUUUUCAUCAAUGUGGAAAAGACUCCUUUCCUCUGUGUGGAGUCCAAACCCAGAAUACUUGUGAAAAACUCAAAGUACAAAAAGGAGAGAUUUUGAAAGUGAAGAAAGCACUUGAGUCACUACCAAGAAGAAAAAAAAAAAAAAAAAAAACCAACCCAAGAGGAAAAGACCACCUACAACUGAUGAGGCGCCAGACACCUGCCUUUAAUUGAGUGCCUAAAGAAAACAGUAUAUGGCCACCCUUUAAUUUGUAAUGAGUUCUGACUUGCUUUGACACAAGCUAUGUGAACUGCCAUGUGUGCUGUUAGUUGAUGGUAAGAAGGAAAUUCUUAUGCUGGAGCAUGUUGUGUAUCUGUGCAGACCUGAAGCAUGGUCCAAAAUGUGAAAAUGAGAAAAUCCUGCCUGGCUGAACAGAAAAUGUGAAAAUGUGCAGUACAGGAUACACUGGACAGGUAUACUAAUCCUAUUGAUUGAAGGAUAACAGCAUAAGUGCCUUUGUCACAAAACUGCUAAUUCUGUCUUUCUCCUCCUUCCCGAAGCUAAUGAAGGAGAAGAUAGUGAUUUUAUGAUCUAAUACAGAAAAAUAAAUUACUUGCUUACCUGCUUGGAAUUGAAGCAAACACAGAUACAAGAAUAGACAAGGUCAACCUUAGUCCUGAUUUUUUUUUUUUUUUUUUUUUUUAACUCAGGCUGUCUCCAUUGUUUCCUAUGUCAUUGUAUUUCUGACAUUUUCUCCUGAAGAGUUUAUUCUAAUAUAUUGUGGCCAAGAUCCUAGCCCACUUUGCAUUCCUACCUUUCUAUCACUGCUAGAAAUAUUACUGCCUUUCUAUCCUACUGAGUUAGAAAAAAGCUAUUGUCUGUGACUGCUUUCUCCAUCACCCCACACAUCCAGCUCUUCUCUGCUCUCCUUUCAAGCUAUUUCCAAGAUCUUGUUCCACUGCCCAAACAGCUUUUCUCGCUUCCCUCAUUUCUCCCCAUCACAGCCUUCUCUCUUCUUCUUGCAUGCACGAGUGCAUACACACUUUCUGCCAAAAUCAUCUUCAUAGCUGCUUAUUCUGCCUGUCAAACCUGCCUCCUCAGGGCCUUCUUUGCCUUCCCCUUCACUACCUAAUCUGCUCAAGCUCUUACUGAAAGCCAGGAAGUCCUCUCAGCUCUGCCUUCCUGCCCUGCUCCCACAGAUUCUCCCCUUGCCAGCCAUGUGAACUGCCCUUUUAGCUACUUCUCACACCGGCUCGCCUGUUGCCAUUAAUGUUGUGCUCCUACACAAGGAAUAACAUUUUUAUACUACUGUACAAAAGCCAUGUUCUUGUCCUUCAUCUAAAGGGACUAAAUAGUAGCUUGACAAAUGCUGCCAAUAUCUGGUCUAUUAAUUAAAUAAUUUGCUAUGGUAUGAAAAGUACAUUACUUUUUAAGCCAGUGCCAUCACAUAACUCAGACAGUGAGCCUACUAAUUCACAUUAACACCAUUACUUCACUCAUGGGCCCUUUCCAGUCCUCCUUUCUGCUGUUACUACACAUUUGGCAUCAUGAUCUUGAAAAUCUUUUUGUGUUAUUUUAUUGUUGCAGUUAUUGUUCUGCAGUAUCUGCUACCGGUAGCUCGAGAUAAAGACGAGAUGCAAUUCCUGAGAGAGAAAACCACAACUCUAGAGUGAGCAUAGGUCGGUGAGGAAACUUACCAUCAGUUAAUUGACUUGGGGCCAGAUAUGCAUUUAUUUCCUUUGCAGUUUAUUUUGUAAACCCAAAAUCCCUGAAAGACUACUAGCUUUGAUUUGAUACAAGGAUUUUUAAAUCCAGACAAUGAUGUUACUUUAUCAUAAUUUGUGCUUACAGUCUUGUGUUAAAUUGCUUUGGACUUACUUCAGAGAACAAAUAAUGUCAGCUGUUUAUUGUACAUCUUGCUUUAUAUAAGAUGGGUCUUGGCUAAAUGCCAUCAUGACAUUUCUGGUCUAAAACUGCUCUUCCUUUAAAUCAGAAUCCAUCAGAUCAUAGUAGUAUAGGAUCAGGAUGAGGAAAAAAAGUAGCCCUAGUUAUGCGUAAUUUUAGGUGUAUAACAGUCACCAAAUGACUCACUAGCACGUUGACAUUUCUAAGUUAACAAAUAAAGCCUUCAGCCUUUCAAUUACAUCCAUUUGGGAAGAUCCCUAGGAUUGUACAAAGUUGCACUGGAGCUGGAGAAAUUAUUCUUGUAUAUAUUUAGGUGUAAAUUAAAGUGUAGUUCAUGUAAGGCUAAGGUUUGUGUGUAUUUCCAUACCAAGCGAGAAAUACAAGCUUAGGUUUUUAGAGUGCUUUGUAUUUGCAAGCUGCUUUCAUAAAGGUAAUUAGUUUGCAAGAGAUCUCCAGUGUGCUUGAUAUGAGAGACACAAACAGGUCUUUCAUCAUGCUCAUUACACAAGAGUAAUCUUUAUAUCAAGUACCCACUGAUAAUGUUAAUAGCUAUGAUAAAACACAGUAUAAUGACAAGUGCCUUCCAACAACCUACAGUAAAUCAUGCAAAGCAAUUGACUUAAAAGGGCUAUUCCGAAUCCUUUCAUUAUACUUUUACAAAGCAACAUCAUUGCAAGCUGGAUUUUGUAGUAAGUGUACAGUGCAGGAGGCCUUGAGAAGGAGGAAAAUUGGGCUUUGCAUUCUGCUAGAUGAAGACUGCUUAAUCUUUCAGAACUUCCCAGCCAUGGGCAGAGAUAUCAUGUUACACCGACUAUUGUAUGAGAAAAAAUGCAAAGGCUUUUAGAUAGACCUGUGUGUAGCAGUGAUGCCAGACGCUAUUUUCUUCUCAUCUUACAGCAUUAAAAGAUGAUGUAAAACAGGAUGUAAAUGAUCUUAAAUCUUCUGAACAUACUAGAAGGUAAUUUUAUUUAAAGAGAAAGCAUUAUUUUAAAAACAAAGGAUAGAUUCUUAAGAGUUACAUGCAAGAUUGGUCUAAUUGAAAGACAGGAAAAAUAUUUUAUGUUAUCCUUAGUUUGAUUCUUUGUUUGACUCUUUCUUAAUAAAACAUCAGUUUCUUCUGCUGCUGCUUUAGCAUCUGGAGAACGGUCUCCAACCAUUUCUUCUACGAGUAAAAUUGCAUAGGAAAGAGUUUGUAGGUUCCGGAAUAAGGGUAGAAUUAUAAAGGAGAGAGCUUGUAGGACAGGUCUACAAUUACAAAGUUCUCCCAUUUUUGUUUCCAUGAAAAAAAGAAAAAUACUUUAAAAAUGCAUUCCAUAAACUGAAAAAAUAGCAAAAGGGGUUCGGGGCAGAUGAUUGUCAAUGAUUCAAAGUCCAGUGAACUCAUCUGAGAGACUGCUGCUGACUCCAGCAGACUUAUUGUUAUCAUUUCUUUUGGAUUAAUUUCACAUUUAAUUUUCUAAUUAUUUUGAUUUUUUAACUAUAAAAUAUAUUUUAACUCAAAAUAAACACACUAAAUCCCAUAAAAUUGCUAUGCUUUUCUUUUUUUAAUUGCCACUGUAGGCUUUGGGUAUAUGUCAUUGUCAAGAGAGGUUAUCAUUGUUUAUUCUGAAAGUUCUGAAAACAGAAAGGAUAGGUAAAAAGAAAAGGAAUGUACUUUUCUCCAGCUUCCAUACUGAUGAGUUUUGUUGUACCAGAUUCUUUUGUUAAUGUUAUUCACCUUUGCAUUAUUUUCCAGUCCCUGUGGCACAAACGCUGUAUGGUCCAGAUUAUCUCCCAAAGAGAAGAAUGCUUUCCCACCUUCCAACUAUUGAGAAAGAGGUAUCGAUACACAGAGGAGGGAUAUACAAUAAUGAAAGACUCUUAAACUGACACUUCUCAGCAGAAGUAUCAUAGGAAUAACUGAGACAACAUGGAGUCCUGAGAUACCCUCUUCCUCUGUCCCAGGUUUCUCCAGCAUAUGCAUUUCAGCUAUUGUAUGUCCGACCCCUCGAUUAGUUUCUUAGGAUACUCAGACCACGUAGAACUGUCUGGGCCCGGAGGGCACUGUUAGCCCUGCCUGUACCUGCCCAGUCCCCUGGGGCUCCCCCUGCCCUGCCCAUGGCCCAGGACCCCAUCUCAGCCCCCCGGGGCUGUCAGCCCCUGCCUCAGCAAUGCCACAGAAGGGCCAGUCUCCAGCUCCCCACAGCCCUGCCCUGCCCAGCCAUGGGUCCUGCUGAACCAGGCCUACGUCCCAGACCACCCCCAUCCCCAGGCCCCUGCCCAUCAGUCUCUGGACCCGAUCCUGGCCCUGACCUCUGGAUUGACUUCCCAGCUUGACCCCAGACCUGCCUCAUCACCAUUGCCUUAUGGUCUGGACUCCUGGUCGGAUCUGGCCACCGCCUCCGGGUCUGUCCUGCUCCCUUGCUUAGGAGGGACAGGCCCUGCCGGCCCCAGGGUCACUCCUGGCUGCCCUCCCUCAGGGAGCAGCCCUCUCUUACUCCUCCUUGGCAGUAAUUCCCACUUCAUAAAGCACCUAAAUAUCCUCUUGCUGCGUGUUGAAUUUCCACCUUCCUGAGGUGAGGCACCUAC